UUAGUGUCUAGAAACCUUGACUACUAUAUGAUGACAAUGAUUCUUAUUGUAUAACGUAUACAAGUAUUACAAACUCUUAUUAUUUUAAUAUUGAAAAGCAGCAAUUUUAUGUUAAUGUACAAUUGUAUUCUUUACUUAUAUUUUGUUUUACAUUAAAACUCAACAAAACAUUCUGGUAGAUUUGUACUAUCUCUUUUAUUGCUAAGCAUUAUAAUUAUUUCUUUAACCAUUAUACAUAUUUAACUGACUAUUUGUGUUUUAGAUGGCAGUACUGCAGAUCACUGGAGGCAUGCUGAGACAUGAAUUAGCAUUUCUAUCACUAGGGAAAGUUACAACAUUUUCCGUUGAAAAUGGAAUAGAAGAUGGCAGUAUAUCAGAUCAAUCAAGGCACGCUGAGACACGAAUUCACAUUUCUACCACCAAGGAAAGAAUCAACAUCCUAUGUUGAAAAUGGACUAGAAGAUACUGAUAAUAAUAUUGGAUUUAUGCAAUGUGCGUGCAAUGGUUAUUGAAUAUAAUUGAUUCUAAAUUAAUAGCUGUGAAACAAUUGAGAUUUGUUAAAUAUCUGAAUAAAAUAAUAGUAAACACCUUUA